rnacentral:rRNA from 1 species
UACAGAGGGGGCUAGCGUUGUUCGGAAUUACUGGGCGUAAAGAGCUCGUAGGCGGCUUGUCGCGUCGAUUGUGAAAGCCCGGGGCUUAACUCCGGGUCUGCAGUCGAUACGGGCAGGCUAGAGUGUGGUAGGGGAGAUCGGAAUUCCUGGUGUAGCGGUGAAAUGCGCAGAUAUCAGGAGGAACACCGGUGGCGAAGGCGGAUCUCUGGGCCAUUACUGACGCUGAGGAGCGAAAGCGUGGGGAGCGAACAGG